AUUGAACGCUGGCGGCAGGCCUAACACAUGCAAGUCGAACGUUAACAGGAAUCAGCUUGCUGAUUCGCUGACGAGUGGCUGACGGGUGAUUCAUGCCUGGGCAACUGCCUGAUGGAGGGGUAUAACUACUGGAAACGGUACCUAAUACCUCUUAACGCCGCAAGACCAAAGAGUGGGACCUUCGUGCCUCUUGCCAUCGGAUGUGCCCAGAUGGGAUUAGCUAGUAGGUGGGGUAAAGGCGCACCUAUGCGACGAUCCCUAGCUGGUCUGAGAGGAUGACAGGACACAAUGGAACUGAGACACGGUCCAGACUCAGACGGGAGGCAGCAGUGGGGAAUAUUGCACAAUGGGCGCAAGCCUGAUGAAGCCAUGCCGCGUGUAUGAAGAAGGCAUUCGGGUUGUAAAGUACUUUCAGCGGGGAGGAAGGGAGUAAAGUUAAUACCUUUGCUCAUUGACGUUACCCGAAGAAGAAGCACCGGCUAACUCCGUG
rnacentral:rRNA from 1 species